rnacentral:misc_RNA from 1 species
AGCAGCCGCGGUAAUUCCAGCUCCAAUAGCGUAUAUUAAAGUUGUUGCAGUUAAAAGCUCGUAGUUGAAUUUCGGGAUCAAUAUGUUGGUCGUGCCUUGGUACGUACUGGCGUCAUUGAUUUCUACCUUCUGAAGAACCUCGAUGUCAUUAAUUUGGUGUCUUGGGGAAUCAGGACUGUUACUUUGAAAAAAUUAGAGUGUUUUAAAGCAAGCUCACGCUUGAAUACAUUAGCAUGGAAUAAUGAAAUAGGACGUUUGAUUCUAUUUUGUUGGUUUCUAGGAUCGACGUAAUGAUUAAUAGGGAUAGUUGGGGGCAUUAGUAUUCAAUUGUCAGAGGUGAAAUUCUUGGAUUUAUUGAAGACUAACUACUGCGAAAGCAUUUGCCAAGGAUGUUUUCAUUAAUCAAGAACGAAAGUUAGGGGAUCGAAGACGAUCAGAUACCGUCGUAGUCUUAACCAUAAACUAUGCCGACUAGGGAUCGGAUGAUGUUAAUUUUUUAAUGACUUCAUUCGGACG